rnacentral:rRNA from 1 species
UACGUAGGGGGCAAGCGUUGUCCGGAUUUAUUGGGCGUAAAGAGCGUGUAGGCGGCCAGACAGGUCCGUUGUGAAAACUCGAGGCUCAACCUCGAGACGCCGAUGGAAACCGUCUGGCUAGAGUCCGGAAGAGGAGAGUGGAAUUCCCGGUGUAGCGGUGAAAUGCGCAGAUAUCAGGAGGAACACCCGUGGCGAAAGCGGCUCUCUGGGACGGUACUGACGCUGAGACGCGAAAGCGUGGGGAGCAAACAGG